GCUUCCUCCCUGAGCACUGCAGGGGGAUGGAUGGGACUUGUAGUCAGCCCAUAACAUUUCAUCUCUGCUACUCCUCCUUCUGCAUGCUGUUCCCCUGCUCCAGCAUGGUGUCCCUGCCACAGGAAAAAGUCAGAUCUGCAUCAACCUCUUCAAGGGGAAAUGAAUUCUGUGGUCGAAAGUGCUUACUUAACUGAUCUGAAUCACUUCAUGAAAUACCAAGAUACCUGAAAUAUUGAUACCUGAGAAACUUUCCAUGACCUGUUGAUACCCUAUGAACUGACCUCCAAGUGAAAAUCCAAUUGAACAGGAUUAUAAACCUUCCUUCACAUUGUUGGACCUGAAGUGUGGCAAAAGAGAAGAAAGAAUACAAUGACUUACCAGCAAGGCUAUUUGCUAGGCUGGUGCAGUCAGAGUCCUGUCAAUGGCAUUUCUAAGUUAUGAUGGGUUAAUUCUCAUCUCUCUGGGCAUCACUGGUGCUUGACAAGGUGUGAGAUCUGAGGGCACAUCGGCAGUGUGGAGCAUGUUGAACGCCUUGGACAGUGUAAUUCAGACACCUCAAGAAAUAUCUCCCCCAGGAUAUCUCACAGAAAUGAAGUUAUAAUCUGAGAAGUUGUUCCACUAGAUUUGCUUUCCUUUAGGAGUUGUGAAAAAAUAUAAUUUAGUUGUCUUCAGGCAACAGGAAAAAUCUCUUCAGACUUCACACACCAGACAGGCAGAAAGAAACAGCAGAUCUAUCCUGUUUACUGAGUACAGCCUGAUAAAAGCGACCGAGGUAACAUUAGAAGGAAUGUAGUAACUUUUGGGAAGACACAUUAAGAAUUAAUUUAAUAAUUUGUGAAGUAUUGAAAAGCAAUAUUUUACCUUUUGUUUUCUUUUUGGAUGAAAAUUAUAUUUAAUCUGUCUUGUAUCUCUGCAAAUGCAGUCUUCCUUCCUCAAAUAUUUACUCUGGGGAUCUCAGUGUAUGAGCACCUUUUAU